rnacentral:rRNA from 1 species
UACGAAGGGGGGCUAGCGUUGCUCGGAAUCACUGGGCGUAAAGGGUGCGUAGGCGGGUCUUUUAAGUCAGGGGUGAAAUCCUGGAGCUCAACUCCAGAACUGCCUUUGAUACUGAAGAUCUUGAGUUCGGGAGAGGUGAGUGGAACUGCGAGUGUAGAGGUGAAAUUCGUAGAUAUUCGCAAGAACACCAGUGGCGAAGGCGGCUCACUGGCC